rnacentral:rRNA from 1 species
CCCUAGAGGAGCCUGUUCCAUAAUCGAUAAACCCCGAUCCACCUCACCCUCUCUUGCUUAGCCUAUAUACCGCCAUCUUCAGCGAACCCUGAUAAAGGUUACAAAGUUAGCACAAACGCCCUGCCGCCGCAAAAACGUUAGGUCAAGGUGUAGCCCAUGAGAGGGUAAAAAUGGGCUACAUUUUCUAUAUCAGAAAACUCCACGAAAACUCCUAUGAAACCUGGGAGUCCAAGGAGGAUUUAGCAGUAAAUUAAGAAUAGAGUGCUUAAUUGAACCAGGCCAUAAAGCGCGUACACACCGCCCGUCACUCCCCUCAAAUAUAUUUAAGGAACACUUUAACUAAACGCCCUAGUAUUUAUAUAGAGGGGAUAAGUCGUAACAUGGUAAGUGUACUGGAAGGUGCACUUGGAU